rnacentral:sRNA from 1 species
ACCAACAAGAAAUAUGAGCCUAUAUGAUCAAACAGUAGUAUAUGCACCAGUCAACCAAAGUCCUGAUUGAAGCAAAACAGGACUGAAGUGGUUUU